AUCAUUUUCACUCUUAGUUUUCUCUCAACAGCGGCCGAUUUCCUCCCCCCUCUUCAAGCCAACUCCUAGUCUUCUUCCUCCUCUUAAUCUUCAAGAAUGGCUUCCCAAUGUCUUUGGGAAUACUCAAAACCGCCAUCUUCUUCCUAUCUUGACACUAUAAAUAUUAUCUCUUCUCCUUAUGUCAAUAACACCAAAAAAUAUCUCUGGAAAUUUUUGUGAUAUUGAAACCUUAGUGGUUGUCUAUUUUUCUUCGUGUUUUCGGUUCUGAGUGAACAAAAUAAGGAGUUUCUCUUGGUGAGAAAAGAAGGAGCAACCGUGGUGGUUAUUGUGGUUGCCGGCCUUUCUCGUGGCCGUAUGUGACUACCUCGGAUCUGUGGCUCUCUGAGCCGAUAUUACCGUUUUCCUUUUACUGUUGUUUAAAUUUCUAUAUAUUUAUUAUCAUUGUUGUAUAUCUUGGCCAGUAUUAUUAAUUUAAGGGUUCAAAUCCCCGAAAUCUGUAAUAGUUGAAUUAGGUGUUCUCGAGCUUCCGCUGAAGGGUUUUUACGCAACAGUGAUAUUAGAGCAAGGUAUCUGAUCCUUCGCCUCAGUGGUGAUAAUUUCACUAGCAUCCUUUUUGGCAAUGAUGAUUGGGGAAUAUGAGUCGAAGCAAUAACAAGAAUAUUUCUAGUGGAACAGCUUUCAGAGAGAUAUUUUACUAAUAGACCGAGGGAUAAGUAAUUCGACUCAAUCAUAUUCAGAUCAUGAAUGUUUGAAAUCCAUAUUAUGCAAGGAGACAUUGCUUUUGCUAAUUUUCGAAUUGAAGGGUGUACGCCACAGGCCCAGGUUAUGAGCCAAAUUACCAGUGUCCUGGUCCAACAUAGAGAAUGUAAAUAUAUAUGACCGGUUACGCCCUUUAGACUGCGUACAUCUUCUAGGCCCCUUAUGGGGCGUCCUACAAGCUAGUCCCCUUCUUUGGGCCAAAUAUAUUUUUAUGGUAUCAAUCUAAAUCUUGAAGAUAGAAUUUUA